AUUGAACGCUGGCGGCAGGCCUAACACAUGCAAGUCGAGCGAGCGGCGGACGGGUGAGUAAUGUAUGGGGACUGCACGAUAGAGGGGGAUAACUACUGGAAACGGUGGCUAAUACCACAUACUAUCGGAUAACCCAUAUGGGAUUAGCUAGUAGUUGGGGUAAAGGAUAACAUAGGCGACGAUCUCUAGCUGGUCAGAGAGGAUGAUCAGCCACACGGGGACUGAUACACGGCCCAGUCUCCGACGGAGGCAGCAGUGGGGAAUAUUGCACAAUGGGAGCAAGCCUGAUUCAGCCAUGCCGCUUGUAUGAAGAAGGCCUUAGGGUUGUAAAGUACUUUCAGCGGGGAGGCGUUACCCGCAGAAGAAGCACCGGCUAACUCCGUGCCAGCAGCCGCGGUAAUUC
rnacentral:rRNA from 1 species